AUUAGAAUUUUAUUAAAAUA
rnacentral:rRNA from 1 species